rnacentral:rRNA from 1 species
CAGUAGCCGCGGUAAUACGAAGGGUGCAAGCGUUACUCGGAAUUACUGGGCGUAAAGCGUGCGUAGGUGGUGGUUUAAGUCCGUUGUGAAAGCCCUGGGCUCAACCUGGGAAUUGCAGUGGAUACUGGGUCACUAGAGUGUGGUAGAGGAUAGUGGAAUUUCUGGUGUAGCAGUGAAAUGCGUAGAGAUCGGAAGGAACAUCUGUGGCGAAGGCGACUAUCUGGGCCAACACUGACACUGAGGCACGAAAGCGUGGGGAGCAAACAGGAUUAGAUACCCCUGUAGUCCCUGUCUCUUAUAC